AAUCUGUUAGAAGAUUUAGUCGCAAGCAGUUGUUGAAUUAGUGAGACUUCGAGAGAAAUUAAACAGUGGUAUGUAAGAUGGGAUAUGGGAAAAGAAAAAAAUGAAGGAAAUUUAUUCAUUUUCCCUAAAAGAUGUGAUGGUUGUAAUCAUUGUUGAGAUGUCAUUUUAUGUCAGGUGCACAUCUUUUUUCAUGCACACACACAAUUUUUUGUAAACUUCCCUUUCUAGUUUCAUUAUAAUCGAUGAGUAGGUAAGACAUAUCAAGCCUUUCAUUUUU
rnacentral:lncRNA from 1 species